rnacentral:rRNA from 1 species
UGCGUAGGCGGAUAUAUAAGUCAGCGGUGAAAUCCUGCAGCUUAACUGUAGCGAGCCGUUGAUACUGUGUAUCUUGAGAGUAGAUGAGGUAGGCGGAAUGUGUUGUGUAGCGGUGAAAUGCAUAGAUAUAACACAGAACACCAAUUGCGAAGGCAGCUUACUAAACUAUAUCUGACGCUGAGGCACGAAAGCGUGGGGAUCAAACAGGAUUAGAUACCCUGGUAGUCC